rnacentral:lncRNA from 12 species
GUAAUUUUGAGGCUUUUAUCUUCACAGAAAAAGUGUUUCUUCACAGAAACACUCUUCUUAUUAUUUUUUAAAGAUUUAUUUAUUUAUUUAUUUAUUUAAAAGAGAGAGAGCAUGUGCCCAUGGGGGCGGGGGGGGGGGCGGGCAGUGAGAGAGGUACAAGCAGACUUCCUGCCAAGCAGGGAGCCAGAUGCAAUGUGGGGCUUGGUCCCAGGACUCUGGGACCAUGACCUGAGCUGAAGAUAGAUGCUUAGUGGACUGAACCACCCAGGCACCCCAGAAACACUGUUCCUAGAAGGAUGGCAAAGAUUGGGUGAUGGGUCACUGGUUGAAUACACUUUGUUAUAAGUACAGCAAAUUUUAGAAGGGUUGGGCAGCCCCCGUGGUUCAGUGGUUUAGCGCUGCCUUUGGCCCAGGGGCGGAUCCGGGAGAUGGGGGAUCGAGUCCCACGUAGGGCUCCCUGAAUGGAGCCUGCUUCUUUCUCCCCCUGCCUGUGUCUCUGCCUCUCUUUCUCUCUCUGUUUCUGUCAUGAAUAAACAGAUAAAAUCUUUUAAAAAAAUUUUUAGAAGGGUUUAUCAGAAGGAAUGAUGACACAGUGUGGGUUAGUGAGUAAUAAUGGGCGAAUNNNNNNNNNNAAAUUAAACCCCCUGCCUGUGUCUCUGCCUCUCUUUCUCUCUCUGUUUCUGUCAUGAAUAAACAGAUAAAAUCUUUUAAAAAAAUUUUUAGAAGGGUUUAUCUGAAGGAAUGAUGACACAGUGUGGGUUAGUGAGUAAUAAUGUGGCAUCAAAUUAUGAUGUUUCCUAAUUUUGCAUAUUCAGAAGAGUUAUCCAGGGCAUUAAAAAGUUUUUUUUUUUUUUUUUUUUUUUUUAAGUUAAAAAGAUUCUAAGCCCCUCACUCCAGCCCUCUCCAUGGGAGAGGUAAAGGAAAUCUGUAUUUUUAAAAAUAUUUUAUUUAUUUAUUCAUGAAAGACAGAGAGAGAGAGAGAGAGGCAGAGACACAGGCAGAGAGAGAAGCAGACUCCACGCAGGGAGCCCGACGUGGGACUCGAUCUCAGGUCUCCAGGAUCAUACCCUGGGCUGAAGGCAGCGGUAAACCGCUGAGCCACGGGGCUGCCCGCAAGUCUGUAUUUUUAACCAGUACUCAGGGCAAUUCUUCUGAUCUGGCAAAAAGCUUUCCUAAUAUGAUCUGGAACUCAAAUUAUAAAGACAAAUGA